GACGAACCGUACAAACGUUAUUCGGAAUUACUGGGCUUAAAGGGUGCGUAGGCGGUGUGGAAAGUUGGGUGUGAAAUACCUCAGCUCAACUGAGGAACUGCAUUCAAAACUUCCAUGCUAGAGGAAGAUAGAGGUAAGCGGAACUUAGGGUGGAGCGGUGAAAUGCGUUGAUAUCCUAAGGAACACCGGUGGCGAAAGCGGCUUACUGGAUCUUUUCUGACGCUGAGGCACGAAAGCUAGGGUAGCGAACGGG
rnacentral:rRNA from 1 species